rnacentral:lncRNA from 10 species
AUUGCUGGCGGACGGAGACUCCUAGGGUGUUUUUACGAAUCCAAUGUUACUGAUGAAGAAACCGGCACUUGCAGAUUCCUCCCUGCGGUUUCCAAGGCCCAGACGUUCAAAAUUUCUAAUAAGGAGGAAGAUAUCUGGAAACAACUGGAAGAUGUAACAAGAAACCACAGAGUAACUGAAAACUUUGAAACUACAGGCCAUGGAAUUGGCACACAUUCAAUUUAUUUUAGCUUAUUUGUCAACAAAGGCAUCAUAGUCAUCAAUACCAUUCACCACAGAGGCACCCAUACCUGGGAGCUAGUCAAGGCUGGUCAAGUCUCUCCAUCUUGCAGAGAUGGCUCCAAUGCUGUUAUAUUUGACGUUAUUAAAAAACCUACAUUACCAAUUUCCCUUGUCCCAAAACUCAGGCUGCCAGCAGAGGGUUGGAGGUAUAAAUAGGUGUAGUUACAAGAAUCACAUAUACCCUUUUCCCCAUAUAAGCACUCCACUUUAAUCCACAGAGGUCAGAUACUUGACUAAAUGGAUAGCACCUGGCACUGAGAAAGCUUAAUAAGACGCAGUAAGUUUUAAAGUACCUGCUUUUUGAGGCUAUCAGGCAGUUAGGAUAAUUUAGUAAAAAAAGGAUAGAACACCCUCCUCUCUCCAUAAAGGGCAGGUGUGGGUGUAAUGAUGCAACAGAGGUUGUAGGGCUCUAGAUUGAGACAAGGAAUGAUGUGUAUGCAGUCAGCAGUGCGUGCCAGGCUCUGUAAAUAAGCAGCACUUUUUAUAUAUCGCUUCAUUAAAUCCUUAUCCUAGGAGAUAAGCAGUAUCCAUUUCACAGGCAAGAAAAUUGAGGCUGUGAGUGGUUAUGUAAUUUGACUAAGUUACAUAACUUGUAAAUGGCAGAGCUGGGAUUCAAACCCAAGCUAGCCUGCUUUAAAGUUCAAGUUUUUUUGCACAAUAUUGUGAGGUGGAGAAACUUGUGCAGCAGUGGAUAGCUUGGGCUUACCCUAUGAUUCUGAAAUAAAGACCCAGGCACCCAAGGUUCCAUCCUUCACAAAUGAGGAGUCAAGCCCUACUGCAGGGGAGCAAAUCCUUUGAGCUGACCGGCUUCAUUGCUAGCUGCUGCAUUCUCCUCCUCUUAACUGGAAUGGCACUAAUUUUGAGGAUUACUGACUGCCCAGACGAUUCUAGCCCUGUGUCCCUUAAUCUAAAUAAUCAGAAGCCAAAGUGGCAGAAGAUUCUGCUAUGAAAAGAAAACAUCUUGCAUACAGGAUGCAGAACUAGUUUAGGUAGUCAACUAAAGAAGGUGGCUAUCAGAAAGCUACCCAAAGAUGGUUACCCUACUGGCAGUUGAGAAAGAAUAGGCAAUUGGAUUAUCCUUUGGUUAAAUCAGGCAACUUGAUUUAGAGACAAAUCUCUGCCUGAUGCACUUCUUUCUUCCCUUUGGCUGGAUAUAAUCAGGUCCUAGUUAUCAAGGUCCUUUGGUCCCAAACUGGGGGAUGCUGAUUUCCUGCAUUUUUCAACUAAAAGGGAGUCAGGGACCUAGAACUAUGGUUUAGUUUCUCUGAGUUAAGCCUACAGUCCUCGACUCCCCAGGGUGGUGGUUCUGAGAAGACA